UACAGAGGUGGCAAGCGUUGUUCGGAAUUACUGGGCGUAAAGGGCGCGUAGGCGGCCUUCUAAGUCAGACGUGAAAUCCCCCGGCUUAACCUGGGAACUGCGUCUGAUACUGGGAAGCUUGAGUCCGGGAGAGGUGAGUGGAACUCCGAGUGUAGAGGUGAAAUUCGUAGAUAUUCGGAAGAACACCAGUGGCGAAGGCGGCUCACUGGCCCGGUACUGACGCUGAGGUGCGAAAGCGUGGGGAGCAAACAGG
rnacentral:rRNA from 1 species